GGGGACGGCGCUCUCCAAGUAGCCGAACUGUCUCUGGUGGGAGGAACGGGACGGCGUUCUCCAAGUAGCCGACUGUCUCUGGUGGUGAAACGGGGGACGGCGCUCUCAAGUAGCCUACUGUCCGUCGGUGGGAAACGGGGGACGGCGCUCUCCAAGUAGCUUACUGUCUCUGGUGGUGAAACGGACGGACGGCCCUCUAGUAGCCUACUGUCUCUGGUGGGGAAAACGGGGGACAGCGUUCUCCAAGUAGCCUACUGUCUCUGGGUGGGGAAGGACGGCCCUCUCCAAGUAGACUACUGUCUCUGGUGGUGAAACGGGGGACAGCGCUUCCAUGUAGCCUCUGUCUCUGGUGGUGAAACGGGGACGGCGCUCUCCAAGUAGUCUACUGUCUCUGGUGGUGAAACGGGGGACGGCUCUCCCGUAGGCACUGUCUCUGGUGGUGAAACGGCGGCCCUCUCCAGUAGCUAAUGUCUCUGGUGGUGGAACGGGGGAGCGCUCUCCAGGUAGCCUAAUGUCUCUGGUGUUGAAACGGGGGACGGCGCUCUCCAGGUAGCCUACUGCCUCUGGUGGGGAAACGGGACAGCCUCUCCAAGUGCCUACUGUCUCUGGUGGGGAAAGGGGGACGGCGUUCUCCAAGUAGCCUACUGUCUCUGGUGGGGAAACGGGGGACGGCGCUCUCCAUUACGCGACUGUCUCUGGUGGGGAAACGGGGGGAACGGCGCUCUCCAAGUAGCCGACUGUCUCUGGUGGGGAAACGGGGGACGGCGCUCUCCAGUAGCCGACUGUCUCUGGUGGGGAAACGGGGGACGGCGCUCUCCAGUAGCCACUGUCUGGUGGGGCAGGGGACGGCGUUCUCCAAGUAGCCUACUGUCUCUGGUGGGAAACGGGGGACAGCGUUCUCCAAGUAGCCUACUGUCUCGGUGGGGAAACGGACGGCCCUCUACGUAGACUACUGUCUCUGGUGGUGAAACUGGGACAGCGCUCUCCAUGUAGCCUACUGUCUCUGGUGGUGAAACGGGGGCGGCGCUCUCCAAGUAGUCUACUGUCUCUGGUGGUGAAACGGGGGACGGCUCUCUCAAGUAGGCACUGUCCUCUGGUGGUGAAACGGACGGCUUCCAAGUAGCCUAAUGUCUCUGGUGGUGAAACGGGGGACGGCGCUCUCCAAGUAGCCGACUGUCUCUGGUGGGGAAACGGGGGACGCGCUCUCCAAGUAGCCGACUGUCUCUGGUGGGGGGGGGGGCGUUCUCCAAGUAGCCUACUGUCUCUGGUGGUGAAACCGGGGGACGGCGCUCUCCAGGUAGCCUACUGUCUCUGGUGGUGAAACGGACGGCCCUCUCCAGUAGCCUACUGUCUCUGGUGGGGAAACGGGGGACAGCGUUCUCCAAGUAGCCUACUGUCUCUGGUGGGGAAACGGACGGCCCUCUCCAAGUAGACUACUGUCUCUGGUGGGUGAAAGGGGGACAGCGCUCUCCAAGUAGUCUACUGUCUCUGGUGGUGAAACGGACGGCCCUCUCCAAGUAGCCUACUGUCUCUGGUGGUGAGACGGAUGGCCCUCUCCAAGUACUCUACUGUCUCUGGUGGUGAAAACUGGGGACAGCGCUCUCCAAGUAGCCUACGUCUCUGGUGGUGAAAACAGGGGACAGCGCUCUCCAAGUAGCCUACUGUUUCUGGUGGGGAAACGGACGGCCCUCUCCAUGGUACUGAUUAAUUCAAAGCAUUUUAGACGUCACUGCAGUACGCCCACAUACUCGGUAUCGCCACGGGGUUUUACACAAGUCCCAAUUUCUUUAUGGCAUCGUUUUCAACA
rnacentral:lncRNA from 1 species